rnacentral:misc_RNA from 1 species
UUAUUUAAUUUUUUAUUUAUUUUAAUUUGAUUCAAUUUAUAAUAUUGUGUAAUUCAGUGUAUUCAAUUUUAUAGAUUCAAUUAUUCUAUUUUAACAUAAUACUCAGCCCUAUCUGUCCUCGUUCUUUACCUCUUGGCGGUAGAAGACAGAUUGUUACAGUCGUGAGCUUCCCUCCAGAACGCCACUACCUUCUUCCUCAAUUCAUCAACAGUUCAACACACACCCGAGCUAAGUUCCUCCUCCUCCUCAUUGUAACGGCCUUCCCUGGUGGCUUCCGAGGUUGCUCACCGGGCUUCUCACAGUGCAUGCGACCGUAACAACAACAUGGGAGUGGUAAAAGAUGGAAAAGUGUCAGGAAUUAUACCCAGCAAUGAGGCAUUCGCGGUGCACUAUCCUGGAUAUCCCUCUUCCAUGUCUCGCGCCGUCCAAACUCUCGGAGGCACCCAAGCAAUUCUUAAGGCUCGUAGCUCGCAAUCGAACAAGUUGGAUCUCUAUUUCCGCCCCGAGGAUCCCUAUUCACAUCCUUCAUCUGGGGAGCUUCGUGGCUGUAGCAAUUUGCUAUUGAAAAUAUCUAAGAAGACGUCAAAUUCUUCCCUUGAUUCACCCAAUUCUGCCAAUAAAUCAGAAGCUGAAUCACGUGUUGAAAAAGAGCUUUGUGUUGAUAUUGCUGCUCGGAUUCCAGAGGCUUAUCAUUUUGAGGGAAUGGCGGACUACCAGCAUGUUGUUGCAGUUCAUGCUGAUACGGCCCGCAGGAAAAAGAGGAAUUGGACAGAAAUGGAGGAGCCACAUUUUGAAAAGGCUGGUCUCAUGGAUUUGGAUCAGGAGGAUGUGAUGAUAUUAUUGCCUCCACUUUUCACAACCAAGGAUUUGCCAGUGAAUUUAGUCUUGAAACCACCAGCCACUGCAAGUUCAAAAAAGAAACAAGAAGAAGCUGUAGAAAGCCAUGUUGAGAUGAACCUAGAGCCUGCCCUUGCUAUUGAUUUUAACAUUAAAGAGAUUCCUAAAGAAAUAAAUUGGAAGGCAAAUAUAGUACAAGGCACAGAGCUGUGGGGGUGGCAGAUGGCGGUAUCUGAUCUGUUUGAGGAGCGGCCUAUAUGGCCCAAGGAUGCACUGACUGACCGCUUACUAGAUAAAAACUUGAAAUUUACCCAUCAAACACUUAGAAGACUCCUGCUUGCAGUUGCAUACUACUUUUCAGGUGGACCAUUUCUCAGGUUCUGGAUCAGAAAAGGAUAUGAUCCACGCAAAGAUCCUGAGUCUCGCAUAUAUCAGAGAAUUGACUUUCGAGUACCACCUUCUUUAAGAAGUUAUUCUGAUGCUAAUGCUGCUAAUGGCUUGAAGCAGAAAUGGGAGGAUUUGUGCAAAUUUCAAGUUUUCCCUUACAAAUGCCAGACAUCACUGCAACUGUCUGAACUUGAUGAUGAUUACAUUCAACAAGAGAUAAGAAAGCCUCCAAAGCAGACUACUUGCACACAUGGAACAGGUUGGUUCAUACAGCACGUGCAUGAUAGCUUGAGACUUCGUGUGAUGGUGAGGUUCCUAUCAGUAUACCCAAAAUCCGGUGCAGCUAAGUUACUAAAAGCUGCUUCUGAAGAUUUUGAAAAGUCAAAGAGGGCAUGCAUUUAUAAAGAUGGCUUAAAAAUGGAUCAAGAACACCAGCAAAUUAAUAAAGAAGUCAUAGGCGAUGAAACAAAUGAAAAUCAAAACAUUGUUGAUGAAGGUGAGGUAGAUGACAUUGAGGCUGAUGAUCCUGAAGAGGAAUUAGAUGCAUAUGAAGCAUUGGAUCUGGCUGGGGACGAUGAUGAAGCCUCUUUGCUAUCACAUUCAUAUAUGGGGAACAACUCAAGAAGCUAUUUGCAAGAGCUCUUUGAUAGCUUUCAACCAGUGGAUGCCAGUGGUGAUAAAAUACAGGAUGCUGACAGUAGUGAUGGAGAGUAUCAGAUUUAUGAGCAAGAUGAUGAUGAUGAUGAUGAUG